AGCUUGCUCUUAUGAAGUUAGCGGCGGACGGGUGAGUAACACGUGGGUAACCUGCCCAUAAGACUGGGAUAACUCCGGGAAACCGGGGCUAAUACCGGAUAACAUUUUGAACUGCAUGGUUCGAAAUUGAAAGGCGGCUUCGGCUGUCACUUAUGGAUGGACCCGCGUCGCAUUAGCUAGUUGGUGAGGUAACGGCUCACCAAGGCAACAAUGCGUAGCCGACCUGAGAGGGUGAUCGGCCACACUGGGACUGAGACACGGCCCAGACUCCUACGGGAGGCAGCAGUAGGGAAUCUUCCGCAAUGGACGAAAGUCUGACGGAGCAACGCCGCGUGAGUGAUGAAGGCUUUCGGGUCGUAAAACUCUGUUGUUAGGGAAGAACAAGUGCUAGUUGAAUAAGCUGGCACCUUGACGGUACCUAACCAGAAAGCCACGGCUAACUACGUGCCAGCAGCCGCGGUAAUACGUAGGUGGCAAGCGUUAUCCGGAAUUAUUGGGCGUAAAGCGCGCGCAGGUGGUUUCUUAAGUCUGAUGUGAAAGCCCACGGCUCAACCGUGGAGGGUCA
rnacentral:rRNA from 1 species